AUUGAACGCUGGCGGCAUGCCUUACACAUGCAAGUCGAACGGUAACGGGCCUUCGGGUGCCGACGAGUGGCGAACGGGUGAGUAAUGUAUCGGAACGUACCUUUCAGUGGGGGAUAACGUAGCGAAAGUUACGCUAAUACCGCAUAUUCUGUGAGCAGGAAAGCAGGGGAUCGCAAGACCUUGCGCUGAUUGAGCGGCCGAUACCAGAUUAGCUAGUUGGUGAGGUAAAGGCUCACCAAGGCGACGAUCUGUAGCGGGUCUGAGAGGAUGAUCCGCCACACUGGAACUGAGACACGGUCCAGACUCCUACGGGAGGCAGCAGUGGGGAAUUUUGGACAAUGGGGGCAACCCUGAUCCAGCCAUGCCGCGUGAGUGAAGAAGGCCUUCGGGUUGUAAAGCUCUUUCGGCCGGGAAGAAAUCGUAUGGGUUAAUACCCUGUGCGGAUGACGGUACCGGCAUAAGAAGCACCGGCUAACUACGUG
rnacentral:rRNA from 1 species